ACCCAGACCCGGCCCCGCCGCCGCAGACCAAAACAGGAAAAAACAGAGCACGCGCCCCGACCUUCAGGACGUCACUGAGGCUCGCCGCCCCCUGGGGAAGGGCAGUAAGAGAAAGGCGACGAAGGAUGACGUCACUCGCAAGCGUCAUGGUUGUUGAGGGCAAAGUGAUCGCUUCGGAGCCCCUGGCGGCCUUCUUUGACAGGGGCACAGCGCUUUGGGGUAAUCAGGGAAGUGCUGUGAGCAUCCAGAAGACCCUGGACACAGGUGGAACACGCACCUUCCUGAAAAGCUCUGCCCAUCUCGGUGCUUGGAUCAGAGCAGGCCAACGUCUCGUACUCCCGCAGGGACGGCAGCUGGGCCGGAGGAAGGAGUGAGGAGGUGCACAGCUCACACUCUGGCUGGGGGCAGCCAGAACUGCAAAGACGUUCGGACUUCUCCACGGGGAAGGGAACCACACUCGGCAGGAGCAACAGCCUUGACUGAGCUCCUGUGCCUCAGGCAGCCCGGACCUGGAACUGAAUCUUGGAACCCUGAGACACUGCCCAGGAUGUGUAGCUUGGCGGCUAGAGGCCUGGGCUCUGGACUCAGGUGACCUGGCGUUCAGUUCUUCCAGGUCCUCACACACUGUGCACCAGACCCCCUGGAGGCGCCGAUUCCUCAUCUGUGAUAAAGAACACACGCCGCUGAAUUGUGCUUGGGAAUUAAAGUUGAUAGCCAGCUGGAACACAGUGGCUGGCAUUUGUCAGUCUUUGAUUAAAUGCAUUAUCACCAUCAUCAUUGAUUUAUGUCUGGUCUCUCGGCGCUGAUCCAGAGGGAAAACGAGUGAUGUGGGUGGUGAUUUCUAGGCACCAAGUCAGACUCAGGGUACUGAUCCAUAAAUAGGCUUUGAUGGCUUCAGGGAUACCUUAAUAUUUAUUUUUAAAAUUUAUUUUUUUAUUUGAGAGAUUGAGAGAGCACUCCCAUCCACUGGUCCAUUCCUCAAAUGCCCACAAUAUCCGGGGCUGUGCUGGAGCCACGGCCUGGAGAUGGAAAUUCAAUCCAGGUCUUGCACUUGUGUAGCAGGAGCUCAAUUACUUGAACUGUCACCACUGGCCCCCAGGGUCUACACUGGCAGGAAGCUGGAGUCAGGCACAGAGCUGGAACAAACUCAGGGACUCUGAUGCAGCACAUGGUGUCUUAGCCAGUAGGCUAAGCAUGCACCCUAGGAUGCUAACAUUUCUGAGGGUCCCAGCAUUCAUCCUUCUCUAGGGCCCCUCUUUAAGCCUUGAAGUUCCAGAGCCAGAUGGCUUGAUGGAGAGCCAGGCACAAGGAGUCUCCUGUCUGCUCACUUUUUUUUUUUUGAGAAAGAUUUAUUUAUUUAUCUGAAAGCCAG
rnacentral:lncRNA from 1 species